CUGGAUCAUUUUCCGAUGAUUUUAUAUUAUACAUACAACCGCGAGAAGAGAGGAGGAGGGUAUAUCUCUCUCUGUGUGUGUGUGUGUGCAAGAGGGGGAAAAGGUAUGGUGUAUUUUUGUAUAUACUUGCCUGUGUGUACCCCUUGUGUAUUGUGAGCACCACACACUCUCUUCUUCGCACUACACAUAUAUCUCCUCGACACAUUGUGCGCAUAUAUAUAUAUAUAUAUAUAUAUAUAUAUAUAUAAUGUGUGUGCUCUAAGUGUUGUGGAAAAAGUAACUUGCCGCUUGACCUCGUGUGUGGAUAUGGUGUGUAGUGUCUGUGUGGUGUUUGUUUAUAUAUAUAUAUAUAUAUAUAAACAGGUGCGCACAUACACACACCCAGAAAAGAACACGUCGUGAAGCACGGCCCCAACAACGUGUCGCGAUGGAUGACUUGGCUUCCUAUUUCGUAGAAGAACGCAGCAAAGUGCGAUAAGUGGUAUCA
rnacentral:misc_RNA from 1 species